rnacentral:misc_RNA from 1 species
UCCUUGUUUCCAAGGCAGUCCUGCUAGAGUCCUCUUUCUUUCGAAAUGAGCAACUAACAGUAGGGGUUGCGCUCGUUAAAGGACUUAACCCAACAUCUCACGACACGAGCUGACGACAGCCAUGCAGCACCUGUUUACCAGUCUUUGUUUUACCAAAGCCAUCAGUAUCUCUACUGAUUCCCGGUAUAUGUCAAACCCAGGUAAGGUUCCUCGCGUAGUGUCGAAUUAAACCACAUGUUCCACCGCUUGUGCGGACCCCCGUCAAUUCCUUUGAGUUUUAAUCUUGCGAUCGUACUCCCCAGGCGGAUCACUUACCGCGUUAGCUCCAACACUGGGCCAGCCUUGCCGACCCAACAUUUAGUGAUCAUCGUUUACGGCGUGGACUAC